rnacentral:rRNA from 1 species
AGAGAUGAGGGAGUGCUCGAAGAGAGCCGUAACACAGGUGCUGCAUGGCUGUCGUCAGCCCGUGUCGUGAGAUGUUGGGUUAAGUCCCGCAACGAGCGCAACCCUUGCCAUUAGUUGCUACGAAAGGGCACUCUAAUGGGACUGCCGGUGACAAACCGGAGGAAGGUGGGGAUGACGUCAAGUCCUCAUGGCCCUUAUAGGUGGGGCUACACACGUCAUACAAUGGCUGGUACAGAGGGUUGCCAACCCGCGAGGGGGAGCCAAUCCCAUAAAGCCAGUCGUAGUCCGGAUCGCAGUCUGCAACUCGACUGCGUGAAGUCGGAAUCGCUAGUAAUCGCGGAUCAGAAUGUCGCGGUGAAUACGUUCCCGGGUCUUGUACACACCGCCCGUCACACCAUGGGAGCGGGUCUCGCCAGAAGUAGGUAGCCUAACCGCAAGGAGGGCGCUUACCACGGCGGGGUUCGUGACUGGGGUGAAGUCGUAACAAGGUAAGCGUAGUGCU